GACGAACGCUGGCGGCGUGCUUAACACAUGCAAGUCGAACGGAAAGGCCCUGCUUUUGUGGGGUGCUCGAGUGGCGAACGGGUGAGUAACACGUGAGUAACCUGCCCUUGACUUUGGGAUAACUUCAGGAAACUGGGGCUAAUACCGGAUAGGAGCUCCUGCUGCUUGGUGGGGGUUGGAAAGUUUCGGCGGUUGGGGAUGGACUCGCGGCUUAUCAGCUUGUUGGUGGGGUAGUGGCUUACCAAGGCUUUGACGGGUAGCCGGCCUGAGAGGGUGACCGGCCACAUUGGGACUGAGAUACGGCCCAGACUACUACGGGACGCAGCAGUGGGGAAUAUUGUACAAUGGGCGGAAGCCUGAUGCAGCAACGCCGCGUGGGGGAUGACGGCCUUCGGGUUGUAAACCGAUUUCGCCUGUGACGAGGCGUGAGUGACGGUAAUGGGUAAAGAAGCACCGGCUAACUACGUG
rnacentral:rRNA from 1 species